ensembl:lincRNA
GAACGAUGGAGAAUCCCUUGAAGCCUUGGGAUACUUAGGUUUGUCACUUAAAUCCUCACCUGCUAAUAAGGUGGGGCACUUAAAAAAAAAAAAAAAAAAAAUCACAUCUUAGGACGCAGCGCCUUGUGGGAAUUGUAGUUCUCGACGUCACGGGCCGACAGCGCAGCAUUGUGGGACCAGAUCCCCGCGGUGACUGCGCUCGGGCGAGCAGGCCGCGGCCCCGCUAUUCGCCGGUCCAGAGGAGAGUGCCACUGUCGCUGCGGCGUGGAACCUGUGAGGCACAGUGGCGGCCCCGGGUUCGGCGCGCAGUGACCCGAUUCCGCGCGACCGGAACAUCGCCGGACAGGUGCCAUCACAGGCUUGUGGUCACGGAUGCUGUAGACCAGUGUGCAGAAGGGGACCAUCUGAGCUUGAAAGGGAUGGACCACUGUCAGGCUGAAAGGUAAAAGCUGCCUUAGUGGAGGGCUGGUUGAGGGCAUGAUGUCUGGGAGAAACAACCAACUGGCAAAAUCCUAAACAGCACUCGUUUCUCUCAUUCUCCCCUCACUCUUCACAGAUUGGGAGCCACUUUCACACCAUAUCCAACACCACAUGUAGCACUUACACAUACGCUGAUGCUCCUUCAUUAGUGAAUCUAGAGAAUGACAAAAUGAUAGUAGAGGAAGUUUUCUAUAAUGGAAGCUCAAAAAUACAGCACCUGAAAUGAAAGACUUUUGUAGAGUCCUCAGGAGGCACAGAAGCAGGAACUAAGCACACUAACACAGGUAACUGCCAUAGCAUCUUAUAAAAAGACAAUUUUUUAGAAAAGAUAAGUACUGUAUAACAAAUGAAAAUAUAUUUCUUGCACAGAAUAGCUCAUCUUGAUUUUAAUUUUCUGUGGAAAUUCUGAGUCAGGGUGUAAAGGCGAUAGGAACUCAAUAAGCCAGUUUGAGCUGUUCUUGUGACAUCAUUCGUUUUGAUGAAGUUGGAGAGUUUUAUUCUGUGGCUGAGCAUGUUUAACCAAUCCUCUCAUAUUUUAUUUUGUGAAUCAGAAGGGAGUUUACACUGUUAAUACUUGGAUGAAAAGCAGUGUUGCCUCACUUGGUGACAGUGCAAGCCCACACAGUGGUGUCAGUGAUGCACAGAUUCUGGUGCUACUACCUCCCUGUGAUCCUUCCUGUCCAUUCUCAAGGCCCAAAGGGAUGUGCCCUCUCAGGAAGCCUUUUAUCCAGCUGAUGUGGUAAGAUUUGUAGGCAGGUGAAUGUAGAAAAUAUAAGGCAGACCGGGUCUCUCAUCGCCUCGUUUCUCUGCCUCCUCAGCUGAACCUUCACAGUUCCAUACACUCUCCUGGCAGCUGCAGAAAUGAGCGUAUCUCAGGUAAGAUCAGUUUUUAAUAAGCAGUUUAUUUUACAGUAGAUUAUAAAGGAUGCUAGAUCUGUACAUCCACAUGGAAAAACAGAAGCAAAUGAAUCAGAUACCUUCAUAGAAGGUAUAGAAAUAUACAGGAAAAGUGGAGUGAAAGUAACAUGUGGAUAGAUGCUAUUACAAAUUUACUACAUUGAGCUCCAAAUUUCUUUCUGAGGUAUUUGAUAGCUAUUGAAGGGUGUUGGAAAGACAACAUUUAAAGAUUUACAUUGAUGAGAAAGCUAAAUCAAAUGACUUGCUUUCUCAUGGAAUGUAAAAGUGAAGAUAGAUAUAUUUGCUGUUCUUUAAGAGUAUGACGUGCUAAACUAAUAUAAAA